CUGAAACCGAGACUUAACAAAUCUGGUGUGUGGUUGAGUGAAACUAGCUCGUGUCCAUUACAUUAUGGAUUUUAACUUGACGUGAAACUGCGCAAAGUUGACCUGAACAACAGAUAAAGGCUGACAUGAAAAAUAAAUAUUGCGAAAGACAUACUCAAUAUGAAGUCAGAUAUUUCAGAACGUCAACAUGCAUUGCAAUGAUGAUAUGGCAGCCAAAAUAUAAAGUGUUGCCCAUGUAACUUUUAAAUGAAAGCAUGUCAAAAAAAUAAACCUUAUUUUACAAUUCAUUAAUUGCACCCACACAACUUUGAUGCCCUCAAAAUAUGUUAAACAUUUUGAUGGUUUAGGCAAAUACAAAUUGGAAAAUGUUAUUUUUCUAUGUUGAAUUCAUUUUCAAGAUAUAUUUAGGCCUACUUUUAUUUCAUAUUUAUUAUAUUGACAAUGCUACUGCAUCAGCAAAUUGUCGCCCAGCAGAAUACAGUACAGAAGAGGGCUGUUGUCCAACCUGUCCACCAGGAAUGUAUGUUAGUAGACAUUGCAAACAAUCCAGGAGUACAUCAUGUGCAUCUUGCACAGAAGGUACUUUCCAAGAUGGAGAC